rnacentral:rRNA from 1 species
UACGUAGGGACCGAGCGUUGUCCGGAAUCAUUGGGCGUAAAGAGCGUGUAGGCGGCCACUUAAGUCCUGCGUGAAAUCUUGCGGCUCAACCGCAAGCGGUCGUGGGAAACUGGGUGGCUAGAGUGCGGGAGAGGAGAGUGGAAUUCCGUGGUGUAGCGGUGGAAUGCGCAGAGUAUCAGGAAGAACACCCGUGGCGAAGGCGGCUCUCUGGAACGCAACUGACGCUGAGACGCGAAAGCGUGGGGAGCAAACAGG